CCUACGGGUGGCAGCAGUGGGGGAUAUUGCACAAUGGGGGGAACCCUGAUGCAGCGACGCCGCGUGGGUGAAGAAGCGCCUCGGCGCGUAAAGCCCUGUCAGCAGGGAAGAAAAUGACGGUACCUGAAGAAGAAGCCCCGGCUAACUACGUGCAAGCAGCCGCGGGACUACGUAGGGGGCAAGCGUUAUCCGGAUUUACUGGGUGUAAAGGGAGCGUAGACGGCAGCGCAAGUCUGGAGUGAAAUCCAAUGGCUUAACCAUGGAACUGCUUUGGAAACUGUGCAGCUAGAGUGCAGGAGAGGUAAGCGGAAUUCCUAGUGUAGCGGUGAAAUGCGUAGAUAUUAGGAGGAACACCAGUGGCGAAGGCGGCUUACUGGACUGUAACUGACGUUGAGGCUCGAAAGCGUGGGGAGCAAACAGGAUUAGAUACCCCAGUAGUC
rnacentral:rRNA from 1 species